UCGAUUUCCUUCAUGGCUUCAUUUGACCACAUAAAAUUCAAUUACUGCGUGUAAUACUCCCCAUUAGCUUAAGAUCUUUACUAUUUGAAGGAAACUAUUCUACAUAAUUUUCUACUCAAACAAGCACUGUAAUAAUGAUAAAAGCAAAACUAAUUUUAACAGAUAAAGAACUUUUUGGCUUAACAGGCUGAGUGGUAAAUCAUUCCUCAAAAAAUGAACAGAGGAACAUAAAUCUGCACCAUUGCAAAGCGAUCUAACAUUUAAAAUAAAUAUAUAAACUAGCAUUCACAUCUCAAAGCAAAGUGAAAAAAAAAAAAUUACGCUCAGAACUUAAAAGCAUCAGUAUGUCCACAUAUCAAACAACAAGAAACAAACCUGUUUGUUGCAAAUAUUGAAAUAUAUAUUGAAAAUACUCCCCAUUAGCUUAAGAUCUUUACUAUUUGAAGGAAACUAUUCUACAUAAUUUUCUACUCAAACAAGCACUGUAAUAUUGAUAAAAGCAAAACUAAUUUUAACAGACAAAGAACUUUUUGGCUUAACAGGCUGAGUGGUAAAUCAUUCCUCAAAAAAUGAACAGAGGAACAUAAAUCUGCACCAUUGCAAAGCGAUCUAACAUGUAAAAUAAAUAUAUAAACUGGCAUUCACA
rnacentral:lncRNA from 1 species